UGCAAUACUAGGCAUAAAGUACAAUACUAUUGCAGAAUAUCUAGGAUAUUGUAAUGUCGAUAUUCUUACCUACACAAAAAAUAAUCACAAAACAAUGUGCAUAACAUAAUCUAAUUUUUGAUAUUUUUGAUGUGCAGAAGUAUAUUAUUUACAUGCAGAAAUCCUGGGAAUUAAGUGUGUGCACGUGUGUGUGUGUGUGUGUAGAGAGAGAGAGGAAGAUAGAGAUCUCUUAGGAGAAGUCUUGCCUCUUUGCCAGGAACCAUUUAGUCACUGAAGAUCCUUUGUGCCUCCCACAACUGGAAGGGGGAAACACACUAACAUCUACCGGGUUGGAUCAGGAUGGUGGCGAAGUACCCUAGGAUACAGUCAGCCCUCACCCUGGUAAAGCAUCAUCCGAGCCACAUGCCAACAGUGCCAAAGAGGCUCUGAUGUAUACCCAGUUGUCUUUGUGUCUCAGAAUUGAAUGCAACCCACCGGGCUUCGCCUCUGGUUCCCUCCCUUUUCUGCACUGCACAACACUGACUGCUAUACACAGUGUACUCUGUAAAGCCGCGAUUGUGUGAGGCCGGUGCUCAC
rnacentral:lncRNA from 12 species